UACGAAGGGUGCAAACGUUGCUCGGAAUUAUUGGGCGUAAAGCGCACGUAGGCGGCUUUUCAAGUCUGAUGUGAAAGCCCUCGGCUUAACCGGGGAAGUGCGUCGGAAACUGGAAAGCUUGAGUACUUAAGAGGAUCGCGGAAUUCCCGGUGUAGAGGUGAAAUUCGUAGAUAUCGGGAGGAACACCAGUGGCGAAGGCGGCGAUCUGGGAAGAUACUGACGCUGAGGUGCGAAAGCGUGGGGAGCAAACAGG
rnacentral:rRNA from 1 species